GAUGAAGAACUAGCGAAAUGCGAUACUUGGUGUGAAUUGCAGAAUCCCGUGAACCAUCGAGUCUUUGAACGCAAGUUGCGCCCGAAGCCACUAGGCCGAGGGCACGCCUGCCUGGGCGUCACACGCCGUUGCCCCCCCAUCUACUCCUUCGGGAUUGCGGGGGGGCGGAUGAUGGCCUCCUGUGCGCCUAGCCGCGCGGUUGGCAUAAAUGCCAAGUCCUCGGCGACGCACGCCACGACAAUCGGUGGUUGCGAAACCUCGGUUGCCCGUCGUGUGCGGUCGUCGCGCAUCGAGGGCUCGAAAAAAUUGCCGGGCUCCGGCUCGGCUUUCAACGCGACCCCAGGUCAGGCGGGGUUACCCGCUGAAUUUAAGCAUAUCAAUAAGCGGAGGA
rnacentral:misc_RNA from 1 species